GAUGAACGCUGGCGGCGUGCCUAAUACAUGCAAGUCGAGCGAACGGACGAGAAGCUUGCUUUUCUGAUGUUAGCGGCGGACGGGUGAGUAACACGUGGAUAACCUACCUAUAAGACUGGGAUAACUUCGGGAAACCGGAGCUAAUACCGGAUAAUAUUUUGAACCGCAUGGUUCAAAAGUGAAAGACGGUCUUGCUGUCACUUAUAGAUGGAUCCGCGCUGCAUUAGCUAGUUGGUAAGGUAACGGCUACCAAGGCAACGAUGCAUAGCCGACCUGAGAGGGUGGACGGACACACUGGAACUGAGACACGGUCCAGACUCCGACGGGAGGCAGCAGUAGGGAAUCUUCCGCAAUGGGCGAAAGCCUGACGGAGCAACGCCGCGUGAGUGAUGAAGGUCUUCGGAUCGUAAAACUCUGUUAUUAGGGAAGAACAUAUGUGUAAGUAACUGUGCACAUCUUGACGGUACCUAAUCAGAAAGCCACGGCUAACUACGUG
rnacentral:rRNA from 1 species